rnacentral:pre_miRNA from 1 species
GGACUAUUCUCUCUGUUCGGAAUUACUUGCCUCAGAAAUGGGUGUAUCUAAAACUAAAAUAUAUCUAGAUACAUUCAUUUUCGCGACAAGUAAUUUCGAACGGAGGGAGUACAUC